GACGGAGGAUGCAAGCGUUUAUCCGGAAUGAUUGGGGCGUAAAGCGUCCGCAGGUGGCAGUUCAAGUCUGACUGUCAAAGACCGGGGGCUUAACUUCGGAAAGGCAGUGGAAACUUGAACAGCUAGAGUAUGGUAGGGGCAGAGGGAAUUCCUGGUGUAGCGGUGAAAUGCGUAGAGAUCAGGAAGAACAUCGGUGGCGAAAGGCGCUCUGCUGGACCAUAAACUGACACUCAGGGACGAAAGCUAGGGGAGCGAAAUGGG
rnacentral:rRNA from 1 species